AUUUAAAUAAUUUAAAUAAAAUAUUGAUUUGUGGGAUCAAAAAUAUGAAAAUUCAUUUUAAAUU
rnacentral:tRNA from 1 species